CCUACGGGAGGCAGCAGUGGGGAAUAUUGCACAAUGGGCGAAAGCCUGAUGCAGCAAAGCAGCGUGAGCGAUGAAGGCCUUCGGGGCGUAAAGCUCUGUCCUCAAGGAAGAUAAUGACGGUACUUGAGGAGGAAGCCCCGGCUAACUACGAGCAAGCAGCCGCGGUAAUACGGAGGGGGCUAGCGUUAUCCGGAAUUACUGGGCGUAAAGGGAGCGUAGGUGGUUUCUUAAGUCAGAGGUGAAAGGCUACGGCUCAACCGUAGUAAGCCUUUGAAACUGGGAAACUUGAGUGCAGGAGAGGAGAGUGGAAUUCCUGGUGUAGCGGUGAAAUGCGUAGAUAUUAGGAGGAACCCCAGUUGCGAAGGCGGCUCUCUGGACUGUAACUGACACUGAGGCACGAAAGCGUGGGGAGCAAACAGGAUUAGAUACCCGAGUAGUC
rnacentral:rRNA from 1 species